AAUGAUAAAAACCACAGAGACAGGGAUGUGAAUAGUUAACUACUGGAUCAGAAUAAAAUGAUUCGCAUCUGCGACAAACUAAUUGGGGUCUUUUAUGGUUGAUAAGCCUGCACCAACUUAUUGAAGAAGAUUAUUAAUUUUUAGCAAGGAAUGGGACAAUAUUCGACCCCACUUCUACACGAGAUGUCAGGACCGAGCAGAUAGUGAGAGUGAUCCUGGAAUGAAGCAUAAGCUACUUCGGCUUGCAAGGAAGCUGAAAGAGGAGGAGUUUUUUUCUCUCAGGAAAUUUGUGUUUUUAGGGAAAGGAAGGAGAAAAUGAAGAGGAUGAACCCGAAGAGGAAGAAAAUGUAGAAGAAGAACUCAGCAAUGACGAAAUAGGUGCUCUUCAAUGAACAUUGCCGGCGGAAGGCAUUAUCGGUCCAACGAAGCUGCCUUAGUUCUCACUGUUGCUGGUGUUUUUAAGUUUGCAGAUUGAGGAAGAAAUGGUCAGAGUGAGAGAGGAGAGAGUUAUGCUGGAUGGAGUCGGUUCUUGAAGUUGCUAAGUCAAGUUUCAAGCAACGUGUUAUUCCAAUAGCUAAUCUGAGUGCUACGUGUUCUUCUUUGUUGGAGUUGAUUUAUCUAACUCCAUAAAUAUCUCACUUGUUAGUUUGUUUGUUUUGCCUUUCUACACGUGUGUUUGUUUGUAGGUGUUUUUUACCUAGUCAAGACUUUGAGAUUUGAAGCUGCAAACAAGGUAGUAAGGAGGAGAGUUUCGGUUGCCAAAAAGAAGGAAGUGGAGAGAAGGAGAGAGAGAAAAGAGGAGCUUGCUGGCAGCUCCUAAAAUCAAGGGAGAAGUGGACCAAAUCCAACAACUAUCAAACGUCCACUUCAUCUAUGAUCAAAGCCACGACUUCAAGCCUUGGGAAGCAAGAUUGAGAAGCCUAUAUAUACCAAGGAGAAGUCUCAGUUCAGAUCACGAACUCAGAGAGAAGAAAUCAAGCUUUAGAGUGAUCUGUGUUGGAGUGAUGUUUCUUGUGUUAGGACAACAUUAGCUAUAGCAUUCUUUGUUUUGUUGGAUUUCGGAGUAUAGCUCUUGAAUCCAGUUUGUUAGUGAGAGUGUCUAGAGUUUAAUACCUAGUUCAUUGUAAAGGUAUUAAACGUGUGUGUCAUUCUCCCUUUAGUCAUUUUGCCAUAAGGCGUUCUUCAAGUUAUUUUAUAACUUGAAGAAUUUUUACCAAAAA